rnacentral:rRNA from 1 species
UACGUAGGGUGCGAGCGUUGUCCGGAAUUAUUGGGCGUAAAGAGCUCGUAGGCGGUUUGUUGCGUCGGCCGUGAAAACUCACAGCUUAACUGUGGGCGUGCGGGCGAUACGGGCAGACUGGAGUACUGCAGGGGAGACUGGAAUUCCUGGUGUAGCGGUGGAAUGCGCAGAUAUCAGGAGGAACACCGGUGGCGAAGGCGGGUCUCUGGGCAGUAACUGACGCUGAGGAGCGAAAGCGUGGGGAGCGAACAGG